GUAGGGAAUAUUGGUCAAUGGAUGGAAGUCUGAACCAGCCAUGCCGCGUGCAGGAAGACGGCCUUCUGGGUUGUAAACUGCUUUUGCCAGGGGCUAAAAAGCUCAUGCGUGAGAAAUUGAAAGUACCUGGUGAAUAAGCCACGGCUAACUACGUGCCAGCAGCCGCGGUAAUACGUAGGUGGCAAGCGUUGUCCGGAUUUAUUGGGUUUAAAGGGUGCGUAGGCGGCUUUGUAAGUCAGUGGUGAAAUAUGGCAGCUCAACUGUCAGGGUGCCAUUGAUACUGCGGAGCUUGAGUACAGAUGAGGUAGGCGGAAUUGACGGUGUAGCGGUGAAAUGCUUAGAUAUCGUCAAGAACACCGAUAGCGAAGGCAGCUUACUAGGCUGUAACUGACGCUGAGGCACGAAAGUGUGGGGAUCAA
rnacentral:rRNA from 1 species